rnacentral:rRNA from 1 species
GAUGAACGCUGGCGGCGUGCCUAAUACAUGCAAGUCGAGCGAACAGACGAGGAGCUUGCUCCUCUGACGUUAGCGGCGGACGGGUGAGUAACACGUGGAUAACCUACCUAUAAGACUGGGAUAACUUCGGGAAACCGGAGCUAAUACCGGAUAACAUGUUGAACCGCAUGGUUCAACAGUGAAAGACGGUCUUGCUGUCACUUAUAGAUGGAUCCGCGCCGCAUUAGCUAGUUGGUAAGGUAACGGCUUACCAGGGCAACGAUGCGUAGCCGACCUGAGAGGGUGAUCGGCCACACUGGAACUGAGACACGGUCCAGACUCCUACGGGAGGCAGCAGUAGGGAAUCUUCCGCAAUGGGCGAAAGCCUGACGGAGCAACGCCGCGUGAGUGAUGAAGGUCUUCGGAUCGUAAAACUCUGUUAUUAGGGAAGAACAAAUGUGUAAGUAACUAUGCACGUCUUGACGGUACCUAAUCAGAAAGCCACGGCUAACUACGUG